GGGGCUCACGGGGACGGCUCUCCCCUCUAGCGGUCACCCGAGCCAGCCCCACGGUCUCACUUUACCUCCCGCGCAAGCAGGAUGCCGGCCGCCGCUGGCUCCACAGCUGCCAUCGGUCUCCGCCUCUCUCCCCUUCUGGAUCAGCAGAUUGGGGCCCUCUGUGUUUUCAACAGGCUUUGCCCUUUUCGGUGACACAGGCUGUUGCUAUUCCCAGCAGCCUAUCAGGAGCAGGGGGAGGGCCGUGGCUCCUGGAUUGUUUUGCCUUCAGACGCGAGUUGGAAGCAAGAGGUUAAAAGACUUGGGACGCAGAGGCAGUGUUUGGCCACCGGCUAGGGCUUGCUCUUGUGUUGCCGCAAUU